UCAGUAAGCAACCCCUAGUUUCUGGAAAUCCCCACGAGCAAUCUGUACUUAAACGGCUGAUGGGGCUUACAAUCUGCUGACAGAAAGGUUAAGCCUUCCUCUCCUCCUCCUCCUCUUCCUUCAUCAUGGACUACGUAGCACAGAUUCACUUAGCCUCCAUGCUUACAUCCAUACACUUUAUAUACAAUUUCUUUCAUUUUUAAGAUCAAAAUAACACUAAUAAUGACUUGCUCUUACAUUGUGCUUCUCAUCAGAAGAUUUCAAAGUGCUUUACAAAGGAAUCCUUACUGGAUCCGCAGAGAUGGGGCUCCAAGUCUCUGUUGCCUCCGUUUCAUCAUUGUACUUUCUGAUAUGCUGUUUCUUCUCAGAAGAGGAGGUUUAAAGCCAGAAAGGAGAACCCGCUGUUAUCACUCCAGUGCAGAGUACAGAACAAUCAAUGUAACACAGAGCUCUUCAAAUAUCCCCAGUGUCACCACAGACUUCAUGAAUUCAGUAACAGUCCAGAUUAAUCAGCCAGCUAAUGUCAAAAUCUAAUUAUUUUUAAAGAAGUCUUCCACAAGUCUAUUUCUAGCAUCCAUAAACAGGAAAUGAAGACCAACAGUAUGCAGCAAUAGUACUGAGAAGCCAAAGAUACAAACUAAACAAUCUGAUCCGUCAUACAGACAGCAAUGUACUACUGACAUCACUCACACUUAAGAGCACAGCAAAUCAGUGGCAAACUUUUUCUGGGCUUCAGACAGCAGUGACACGUUCACUCUCAGUGAAUCACAAGAAAAAUGCAGAACCACAGAGAGAGAUGGCAUACAAGAAAAAACUCUGGCAGAAAUCUCAGAUACCAGCUCGAAAAUUCAUCCUGUGAUAGGAAUACAGUCAUUGCUCCCACCCAGAGCCCCUAGGAAAGUCAUGAGCAGUGUAAGAACAGCUGUUCUUUACUGGGGAGGAAACAUGCGAACUAUCCCAUUUUUGGAAAUCAAACCACGUAAGAAUCUACAGAACUUCCAUCUUAAAACAUUCAUAAUGUGUUAAUUUGUUAAACUAUCAAUUUUACUGCACAAGUUAAACAUAUCAGGAACAAAUACAUAAUGAGGUUAUGUUCUAGCUUAGCUAUUUCUUCUUCCCUUCUUUAUGAACUUCAAAACUACAAGGACAAAUUGGCAAUAGAACAAACUGUCAAAGGAUAUUGAGGACACUAGAAAAAUCCAAGGCUACACUAUGAUAAUCAUCUUUUGUAGCACUCAAGAGGUUCCCUUGCAUCCCUUAAAUCUCUGAGUCUUGCAUUUUAGUUUUUGAAUGGUAAUUUCUAUCAUUAGCUCAAAUCAAACUCAUGCUGUUUGCAUGGUUGUCACAAACUACUGUCUGUCUUUCCUGAAAUCCAUCAUCUGCCGAAAGUUAGCUUUCCAAACUAACAUUCCACAUGAACAUCUUGUCCAGAUUUUAAUUAAAACACUGUGUCUAAGAGAUUGUGGUGUAUUUUUUUAAAGAAGUAUUUAACAUUUUCAAAUAUUUAUAAAACCCACCAUUUAUGGUUCCUCAUUGGCUAGUAGGUCAAAUUCAAGGUUAUGGUCCUCAUCUUUAAAGCCUUCCAUGGAAGCGAUCCAAGUUACCAUACAAAUGCCUCUCUCUACAGGAUCACGACCUCCGCUGACAGCUAUGUUCCACAGGAACAAGAGAAUUGAGACCUUUACGCCCAGCAGAUGGAGUUUUCUUGACUACUGGUCCUCAAAUCUGGAAGAUGUCAGGACUCCCACAUACCUCAGCACUGUCAGAGCAAAAUGAAAACCCCAGCCACGUUCCCGCAAUUAGCACCAUCAACAGCAAAAAACCCAAACAAAC